ensembl:snRNA U6 U6 spliceosomal RNA
GUGCUUGCUUCGGCUGCACAUAUCCUAAAAUUGGAACAAUACAGAGAAAAUUAGCAUGGCCCCUGCACAGGGAGGCUGCACAAAGUUUUGAAGCAUUCCAUAUUUUG